AUGAUCAUCUGGUAGAUGUAAGAAGAUGAACGGUUCAGAUCUUUGAUAUCACGUUUUGAUAUUUACAGUUAACUGAAAUAUGAGUCAAUGUCAUAUAGUUUGUAGAAACUUUAUAAACAUCAAGCGAUAUUUUCACUAACUGUAAAACUCUGAAUAUAAUAUCAACGAUCCAAACCGUUCAUCUUCCUGUAUCCUCUAAUAGAUCAUGUUUUCAAAAAAGAAAAUCUGAAAAAAACAAAAUUUUAGGAGAACAAUGAAGCGUAAAUGUAAACAACAAUCAACGGUUAAAUUUUAAUCUAUGAUUUAUAUGAUUAUAGUGGCAAAUUUCGAAGUUAAGUUCUUUAUGAAAGUUGUAAAGCUUGUCAUUACAAACAUUUAUAUAUUUUUUUUCUAUAUUUUUUACACUUCUACAUUAAUUAAAAAACGAUUAAAGACUUUACUUAAAUAACAACUGUAAGAUAAAUGAGAGUAAAUCUGUACUGUUGGAUUCUAUUUCACUUAUAUUUUAGAACUUUUUUGGACGAAAAAACCCCUUCUCUAUUCCAAUAUUUUCCAAUUUUACCAUUUGAUCAAUUUAGGUAAGCGAAAAUAUACUUAAAAGAAAAAUGUUUUUUUAUGUUUUGAAUUUGACAAUAUGAUAUGUAUAUCUUUACUAAUUAAUAAAACACUUAUUGUCAACCAAAACCUUAUAAAAUUACCAGUUUAACCCUUUAAUUAAAACAAAACAUGAAUAAGAAAUAUGGGGCAGAAAUGUAAUUUCACACAACCAAACUUUGCUAUGUUUUUUUCAAAGCCUCACAUACAUAUGAUGUUAAACUACCUCCAAUAUUUAUUAAAAAAAAAACCAAAAACAAAAACCUUUUACUCCCCCCACGUUCUUUCUCUCUCUCUCUCUCUCUCUCUCUCUCUCUCAUUCUCAUUCUCAUUAUCUAAAAAAAUAUGUUCAUACACACAAAGCGUGUAGGCAAAUGCUAGUACUUAUUUAGUAUUAUAUUUUUCAUUUGAUUAUUUAUUGGUUUAAAAUAUAUUUUCCUUAACAUGUAACGGGUCUGGUCAUAUUACCUGUUAAUAUUAUCAGAUCGAUUUUAGGUCAUGUUAUUUUACCCGUUUAUUUUAACGGGUGUAACACAAUAUGACCCGUUAAGAUAUCGGGUAUGACACGAAAACAAAAAACACGACACGAACGCCAGGUCUAGACUUCAGGUUGUAAUUAAUAGAAAAGGGGAGCUAUUUUCAUCACGAUUCGUGGUUGGAAGUAUACCAGUCAUAUCUUAAUUCCCAAAACUGUAAAGCAAAAAAAACUUAAAUCAUUCAUGUCUCCCGGUAUUAAUCAAUAACCAUCUUCAACUUCUACAAAGAAUGGGGAAGUUGGAUCCAUUCUUUUUCCGAAAAUGUAUGGAGAGCAUGACCACUAACAAAUGCUUGAGACGGUAUUUUAGACAGACUGGAGAUUUUGAAGAUCCUAUGUAUGGUUGCUUUCCUGCCAAAUGCUUUGAACUGAGACCACCACAACACUAGCAAAGGAUUUUCCCUUCCAAUGAGUCGAUGCCCAAGCAUUAUUUUCUAAGAUAACUUAGCUGAGUCGAUGCCCAAGCAUUAUUUUCUAAGAUAACUUAGCAAAACAUCCCUCGUCAUCCAACAAAGCAAACAUAGGUCAAAACGCUUGAUAGCAUUAUUUACCAAAUGUCUAAAAUCAAGUUACCGCGAAAGUGAGCCUUUCUCAAGUUUUGGCCAAUGCCACCGGAUUUGUGUGGUUUCGAGAAAAACGUUACCUUAAAUAUACAUCAAACUUAAUGGCAGUCUUGGCAGAGCGAUCAAGUCUUUAGAAGUUUUCAUCCCAAUUCGAAGCUAUUUCACAUAACG
rnacentral:lncRNA from 1 species